CCUACGGGUGGCAGCAGUGGGGAAUAUUGCACAAUGGGCGCAAGCCUGAUGCAGCCAUGCCGCGUGUGUGAAGAAGGCCUUCGGGUUGUAAAGCACUUUCAGCGGGGAGGAAGGCGGUGAGGUUAAUAACCUCAUCGAUUGACGUUACCCGCAAAAGAAGCACCGGCUAACUCCGUGCCAGCAGCCGCGGUAAUACGGAGGGUGCAAGCGUUAAUCGGAAUUACUGGGCGUAAAGCGCACGCAGGCGGUCUGUCAAGUCGGAUGUGAAAUCCCCGGGCUCAACCUGGGAACUGCAUUCGAAACUGGCAGGCUAGAGUCUUGUAGAGGGGGGUAGAAUUCCAGGUGUAGCGGUGAAAUGCGUAGAGAUCUGGAGGAAUACCGGUGGCGAAGGCGGCCCCCUGGACAAAGACUGACGCUCAGGUGCGAAAGCGUGGGGAGCAAACAGGAUUAGAUACCCUAGUAGUC
rnacentral:rRNA from 1 species